UCUGGUCUUGGGACACUGUCAGGUGGGCAGUUUGACUGGGGCGGUCGCCUCCCAAAAGGUAACGGAGGCGCUCAAAGGUUCUCUCAGUACGGUCGGAAAUCGUACGUAGAGUGUAAAGGCAAAAGAGAGCUUGAUUGCAAGACAUACAGGUCGAGCAAGGAUGAAAAUCGGACUUAGUGAUCCGGUUGUUCUGCAUGAAAGGGCCAUCCCUCAACGGAUAAAAGCUACCCUGCUGAUCACAGGCAUAUCUCCCCCAACAUUCAACCUCGACGGGGACGUUUGGCACCUCGAUGUCGGCUCAUCACAUCCUGGGGCUGUAGUAGGUCCCAAGGGUUGGGCUGUUCGCCCAUUAAAGUGGUACGCGAGCUGGGUUCAGAACGUCGUGAGACAGUUCGGUCCCUAUCCGUCGCAGGCGUAGGAAAUUUGAGAAGACCUGUCCUUAGUACGAGAGGACCGGGAUGGACGUACCUCUGGUGUACCAGUUGUCCUGCCAAGGGCAUGGCUGGGUAGCUAUGUACGGAAUGGAUAAGCGCUGAAAGCAUCUAAGCGCGAAGCCAACUUCAAGAUAAGAUUUCCCACCGCAAGGGUAAGACCCCAGAAAGACUAUCUGGUUGAUAGGUCGAAGGUGUAAGUGCAGCAAUGUAUUUAGCUUAUCGAUACUAAUAGGUCGAGGACUUGACCAAU
rnacentral:rRNA from 1 species